GCGAAUUGGUGGCCGCGUGCGGCGGUAUUGCGUGGGGUGAGGCCGUUAACCGGAACGACUUGGCGUAAGGCGUGGGUGGGCGGCUCCGCAAGUCCGCUGUGAAAUCCCCGGGCUUAACCUGGGAAUGGCAGUGUAAACUAUGGAGCUUGAAUCCGGCAGAGGGGGGUGGAAUGCCACGUGUAGCAGUGAAAUGCGUAGAGAUGUGGCGGAACACCGAUGGCGAAGGCAGCCCCCUGGGCCGAGAUUGACGCUCAGGCACGAAAGCGUGGGGAGCAAACAGGAUUAGAUACCCGGGUAGUC
rnacentral:rRNA from 1 species